rnacentral:rRNA from 1 species
UGUCAGGAGGUGCAUGGUUAUGGUCAGUUAGUGUGAGAGAUGUUGGGUUAAGUCCCGCAACGAGCGCAACCACAACCAAAGUUGCCAGCAUUCAGUUGGGCACUAUAAGGUGACUGCCGGUGACAAACCGGAGGAAGGUGGGGAUGACGUCAAAUCAUCAUGCCCCUUAUGACCUGGGCUACACACGUGCUACAAUGGAUGGUACAAAGGGCUGCGAGACCGCGAGGUUAAGCCAAUCCCAGAAAACCAUUCCCAGUUCGGAUUGCAGGCUGCAACCCGCCUGCAUGAAGCCGGAAUCGCUAGUAAUCGCGGAUCAGCAUGCCGCGGUGAAUACGUUCCCGGGCCUUGUACACACCGCCCGUCACACCACGAGAGUUUGUAACACCCGAAGUCGGUGAGGUAACCUUUAUGGAGCCAGCCGCCGAAGGUGGGACAGAUGAUUGGGGUGAAGUCGUAACAAGGUAACCGUA